CAGCCGCCACGGUAAUACGUAGGGUGCGAGCGUUAAUCGGAAUUACUGGGCGUAAAGCGAGCGCAGGCGGUUAGAUAAGUCUGAAGUUAAAGGCCGUGGCUUAACCAUAGUACGCUUUGGAAACUGUUUAACCUGAGUGCAAGAGGGGAGAGUGGAAUUCCAUGUGUAGCGGUGAAAUGCGUAGAUAUAUGGAGGAACACCGGUGGCGAAAGCGGCUCUCUGGCUUGUAACUGACGCUGAGGCUCGAAAGCAUGGGGAGCAAACAGGAUUAGAUACCCGCGUAGUCCCUGUCUCUUAUACA
rnacentral:rRNA from 1 species